AUGCUUGGAUGCUUGCCUCGGAAACAGGUUAAGUUGCCUUCGGGAGGCUUGCACAGGUGCUGCAUGGCUGUCGUCAGCUCGUGUCGUGAGAUGUUCGGUUAAGUCCGCUAACGAGCGCAACCCUCACUGUGUGUUAUAUGUGUCACACGGGACCGCCGGUCUUAAGCCGGAGGAAGGUGGGGAUGACGUCAAGUCAGCAUGGCCUUUAUAUCCUGGGCUACACACACGCUACAAUGGCCAACACAAUAGGUCGCUAAGCCGCGAGGUGGAGCCAAUCCAUAAAGUUGGUCUCAGUUCAGAUUGCAGGCUGCAACCCGCCUGCAUGAAGAUGGAGUUGCUAGUAACCGCAGGUCAGCUAUACUGCGGUGAAUACGUUCCCGGGGCUU
rnacentral:rRNA from 1 species